GAUGAAGAACGUAGUGAAAUGCGAUACUUGGUGUGAAUUGCAGAAUCCCGUGAACCAUCGAGUCUUUGAACGCAAGUUGCGCCCGAAGCCACUAGGCCGAGGGCACGCCUGCCUGGGCGUCACACGUCGUUGCCCCCCCCCCAUCUACUCCUUCGGGAUUGCGGGGGGCGGAGGAUGGCCUCCCGUGCGCCUAGCCGCGCGGUUGGCAUAAAUACCAAGUCCUCGGCGACGCACGCCACGACAAUCGGUGGUUGCGAAACCUCGGUUGCCCGUCGUGUGCGUUCGUCGCGCAUCGAGGGCUCGAAAAAAUGCUCGGCUCCGGCUCGGCUUUCAACGCGACCCCAGGUCAGGCGGGGUUACCCGCUGAAUUUAAGCAUAUCAAUAAGCGGAGGA
rnacentral:misc_RNA from 1 species